CAACUAGUAACACAGACAAAGUUUGGGGUUCUAUGGACAAAAGAGGAGUGGGGGCCCAGAGCGCCGAUGUUUAGUUUGACACACACGUGCACACACACACGUGCACAUAGCUCAGCUCCAGGGCACUCCACAGAGCAUACUUCACAAACCUCUGAACCCUGAAAUCCUUCCCUGUGCAAACACUCUGGGGCCCUGCCAGGGCUGGGAGUUCUAGAACUGGGGGUGCUGACAGUGACUGUGGGUUGCCUGGGUGUAGGGAUCAGGGCUGAGGGGUAACGGAGUAGGGGGCUUGAGCUGGCAUGGGGAGUCCUUUCAAAAUGGGUAAUCCCACUGAGGCUGGGCAGGCGCCUGGGUCCAAAGCGGGGUCCCUGCCAACCCUCACUGCCCUCCCUACCCCCUGAAGCCAGAAGUCAAGUAUGCUUGUCUGGCCCUGGCCUCCUCAGCUGGGGACAGGGGGCACAAGUGGAGACUGAGAGUGCCCUUCCCCCGGGGGAGGGGCAGCAGGUGUGGGCGGGAGCCUCUGGCAGCUUUUCUCUGGGAUCCCUCUCACUAUGCCUGGCCAAUGCCAGAGUGGCAAGAGUUGGGGGACUGGCAGGGGCCCACAGUGCCUCAGGGGUGGGGGCUGAGCACCAGGCAGCCUGAGUGUGGCAGCAUAGCCCCCUGCAUGAGACGCAGUGAGCCUCACAGAGCCACUGAUGCUGGAAAUGUGAGAAUUUGGUGCCAACAGAGAAUGCAGGUGGGAGGAGGCCCAUCAGGCACUAGUGACAGGAAGGCAAGAGUGAGGAGAGGAACAGGUGCCACACAGGAAAGAAAAAUGGCACCGAUAAGAGGCAGGCCUGGGCCUGGGGUCCCAGUUCAGGACAGCAGGGAUUGUCCCUCCAAAGUGGGGGAACAGCAGCAGUACCCAGUCCCUCCUUGCCCACAGAGGGACUGUGCUCUGGGGUCCUGAGAAAGGCCUGUGCUCAGCCCCAGCUGCCUGGGGUCACCAGGCAAACGAGGUGCUGCCCUUUCCCUUCACCCCUAAGUGAUCUGCACCUGCACAGCCCUGGAAAGAUCGCUGUUCCCAAUUGCCCUCAGGGGACAUGUGGGGGAGCACAGGAGUUUCCCCCAGUCCCCACCUCCCUGGGACGUACAAUGAGGGAUGGGGAGAGCUACCUCACCAUCCUCCAUCCCACACACACACACAUACACACACACACAUACACUGGUGUCUGUUCCCUAGAGACUUAGCAGCCCUGGCCUGGGUCACUGCUAAUGUCCCAGGCAUGACAGGGCACUGGGGCUACAGGAAUGGAAAAGUCAGCCAAGGUCUCUGCCCUCAUGGUGCUCACAUUCUAGGGAGGGAAUGACAGGUGAUCAACGAGUCAACAAACCGUAAAGUUCAGGUGGUGAGAAGACAACUAUCAGUGGAGAGUGGGGGGAUAGGGGGUCUUUUAGGUGGGGUGGUGAAAGGAUGCCUCUGGGAGGAGGUGACAUUUGAGUGGAGACCCGAGUUACAGGAAGCCAGUCAUGCUUUGGGACCAAAAGGACUCCAAAAUGUACAAUAUUUUUAAACUGAAAGAACAUGUGUCCAUAGACAUUAAAGGACAGGGGACUUAGAACUGUCUCUGGAGCAUGUUUGUGUCCAGCACAGUGACAGGAAACCCACAUACAUUAUCUCUCAGAGCCCUCUUCAGAACCUGUGUGUCAAAUGGUAUUAUUUUCAUUUUACACAUGGGGAAUAUGAAGCCCACAGAGGUUAUUGUUUCAUUCAUUUCAUAAGAUGCGUUGCGUUUUAGCCUCUGAAAUCACUAUAAUAAGUCCCACGUGGACCUGCCCGCCUAGAUCCUACAGUCUGUGAGGACAGAGGAGGAUCAGGAGGGCUUCCUGGAGGAGCCCAUGGCUAAGUUGAGUCUGAAAGGAGGAGGAGGGGGUGACAGAAGUGAUGAGGAGAGGAGGGGGCCCAGAGGAGGUGGCAUCAGCAGCAGGGAGACCUGCAGGCAGAAGUAAAGGACUGAGGAGGGGGUCGUGCCGGGCUGCCUGGUCAGCAACUUGAGUGAGCUGGGGUGGUGAGUGAGGACCCUGCAGGCAGGUCAGAGUACGGAAGGGCAGAUGGGGCCACGUGGUGUGGCUGUUAGGCAAGGCAGGUAGGAUAGGACCUCUUCCAAGGCUCUGGUGACCUGGCCACCCCUGAGUGACAGGGUUAAUAAUGGCAAAAGGUGGGUGCCAGCCAACAGCAAGGCAUAGUCAGACAACUCACACAGGCUUACGCACUCCACACACACAGACACAUAGACAGACAUGUGCACCCCAUACAUGCACAAACGCACAUGCAGCUGGCCUAACUGUCCAUCUCUACUGAUGAGGGCCUGCAGAGAGGCACAGGACGGGGGUCAGAGGGCACAGAACAGCGUGACUGCAUAGCUCUGGCCUUGGGAUCUAGGCACCUCUUUCAGGACAGAUGUGUCUCCAUAGCCCCCUUCCAGGCUCUCAGGCCCCUUGUCCUCCUCUCCACUUGUGCUCUGAGAUCUCACCUGCCAGCACAUUGUCCAGGAUGUGCACAUAGGACCUGGUCACGUUCAUAGGGGAGGCAGCCCUGGGCAUCAGCCAGCAGGAGAAUCCAGACUCAGAACAGACCCUGCCAGGCUGGAGUAAACAGGCCAGACCAGAGAGAUGAGCAUUCACAGGGUUAACGCAAGGGCUCGAAUGUGAGGUCAGACACUCAACAGCUCAGACAGGCUGGGGGAGGCCACAUGUAAGAUUGGUUCCAGUGAGCACUCUGGAAGGGGACUUGUCCCCCAGGGAGCAACGAGUAUGCAGUCUUGGGCGGCACUCAUGGAAGGGCAGCCUCAUGAGUGGAGGCUAGGCAGAGAGAGGGGUGCCCCUGGGCUCUGAGCUGGCCAGUCCCUCCCGGAACAGGGUCCAGACCUGGGGAUCUUCUUCUCAAGGGGACAAGGACAAAGACAGCGACAGGGUGGGGAACUCAUCAUCCCCGUCCUCAUAUGACAGGUCAUAUGAGGAACUGUCACAAGGAUGUUCAGCCCCAAGAACGAAGGGCCCAGACACCUGGGAGGCCCACACUCCAGCCAUGGCCUUUGCAUGUGCCACAUCUCCCACUGGCAACUUUCCUCCCUCCCUAACUAGUUAAGCCCUGCAUGCUCUUCCCGCUAGCUAAAGCAGCACUUCCUCAGGAAGCCUUUUCUGGCCUCUCUGUGGAGUAUGUCCCACUUUCCUGUGCUCUGCCUCCCACCUUGCCCUGGUCUUGGGGGGCCCUUACCAGAGGCAGCUUUACAGUUUUCUGCAUGAUGGACCACAGUCUCUCUAACUAGACUGCAAGCUCAGCGAGGUCAGGGGCUACAUGUGCUGCUGCUUACUGUUGUUUCCCUGGUGUCUGGCACACAAUAGAAGCUCAAGAAAAUGGAGGAAAGGAGGAGGGAGAAAAGGAAGGGAGGAAGGGAGGGAAGGAGGAGAGAAGAAGGGAACUGAGCAUGCCUUGAACUCUCCGAAGGCUGCCAGCAGCCAUACAAAGGAGGGUUAAACUGGUUCUCAGUGGCAGCAGGAACACCAGUAGAAGGUGAACCUAGGGAGUCUGAUUUCAAAUCAUCGACAGUAAGGUUGUAAAAGUCAACUGGUCACAAUGCGGAUUGGUCUGCCCUGGAAUACUCUGUGCUUCUCAGGAUGAGUUUAAGCAGAACCAAGAGCACUUCUCUGAGGAGCUAUUACUCCAGGGAAUGAAGGAACCGAGGAAUGAUGAAAAAUGAAAGAAUGAAUGAACAAAAUAUGACUGAUGAUACUACAGAGUAUUUCACGCACUGGGCAGAAAGCCAGAGACAUCUGACCUUUGUCUGUGAGUCUGGCUGUGCCAGACCCCAGGUGGACAACGAGCCGAGGACCCUGUCCUCAAGGAGCUCAGCCUGGUGAGAGAUGCACGCAGCACACGUACAUACAAGAAAGCACACUUCAAAUCCAUCCAGCAAUGCCAGACGUGUCCUACUGGAUGAUGUUCAUAGCAGGGCAGGGAGAAAGGUGUCUUGGGAACAGCUCAGUCCUGACUUCCCUCCCCACACCUCCCAGCUUUCUGAAGGAGGUCACAUUCUGAAAUCCACUUUGGGCCACUUUCCCAGGGGGUAACCCCUUGGCACAAGUCUGUCCUGAGGUCAAUGCCCCUCUGGCAGCUUCCUUCUCAGGAUCAAGGGUAGGGUUGGGAAGGAGAAACUUGGCACCUGGCCUUAGUCAGCAAUGACCUUAUCUGCAGAGGCUGGGGCUGGGCAGGGGGUGGACACCCUGGCUCUGAACACCUGCCCCCAGCAGGUUCAGAAGCCUGAGACAUAUGCCUAGCCCAUGCUCAGGAGGCCCCCACGUCCCGACCCCCAGCUUCCUGAGAGCAGGGAUCAUGUCUUACCUGCCUCUAUUCCACCCUUGGUACAGAGGAGGUGCCCACAGGUUGUGACAUGAGCAGUGCAGGGCCAGGGCUGGCAGAGCUGAAAUAGAAAGGGGUGUUCUGCUCAAGCAGACAGAGAUGGAACGCCAUCCUAGCUGGGGUGCAGUAGCGUCUAGACAGGGACUGGGAAGAGCACACAUCCCCCUGAGGCCCCUAAGGCUGGGACCGGACUGAACUGUCUUCUGUUCAUGCUCGGGGCUUGCCCUGUCUCCAGCAGCCCCACUGUGGCCUAUGACCGGUCAAUGACUCACAGCCAGCUGUGGGCAUGGAGGGGAGAAAGUGGCCCCUAGCUGAGCUCAUGUACUCGCAAUUAGCCCUCUACGCCCCCUCACCACGAGAGCCUCCGGCUUCCACGCACGCACGUCCCAGGCUGCCCUUUCCUGACCGCAGCGUGCCUCUCACUGCUUAUUUUAGCCUGAUGAAGGCUCUUGAAAUGUCAGAGCUGGAACCGAGCUGGGGCUCAUGGAGUUCAACCCUUUCAUUCAACCAGGGAGAAAAUGGGGACUCAGAGAAAGUCGGUGAUGUGUUUCAGGUAGCACGCUAAUUGGCAGUACGGCCAGAAAUUGACUGCAGACACUGGGAGCCCAAAUCUGGGUGUCCUUAACUCAGGGGGGCAGUCUGCUCCAGGCGGCCCCUCACCAGACUUCUGGAGCCUCUGGAGCCAGGAUGCCUGGAUUCGAAUCCUGAUUUGCCAGUUAUCAGCUGUUAGACUUCAGGAAUGUUACUUUGCCUCUCCGUACCUCAGUUUCCCCAUCUGUAAAAUGGGGCUAAUAAUGGUACCUACCUCCCAGAUUGGUGUGAGGAUUGAAUGAGCUACUAUAUCUGAAUUUUUGAGACCAGUGCCGGGCACAUGACAAGCACUCAGAACAUGUUAGCUAACAUUCUUACGUGCUCAGUAGAGUCACCAGGAUUUGGUCCUCGGUGUGAAAAGUUCAAAAAUUUGGUUUUACCAGUUUGUCUAAGGGUAAGCAGACUCCGAGAGGCUGGCCUUCUAACCAGGUUUGUGGCAAACUGACAUAUGGUGUUACCCUGGGGACAGAUGUUGCUGUCAGAAGGACCACAGUGGGAACAGAGGCUGCUUCUCGCUCUGGCAGCCACCACCUGAGAUCCAAAGACUGCAGACAUCACAGCAAGGGCAGUUGGAGAUUCUCAGGGCUGUUCAAGGAGCAGGCUCUGCAUCCAGAAAAAGCCCUCAAGUAUAGCGUCUCAGGAGCUUGCAAUUGGAAGCUACCAGGUAGCUGUGUAGGCAAAUGGUGAGUAUCUAUAAGAUGCGGCAAGGCCCUGAUAGUAUCUGCAACAUAUAUUCUUUACAUAAAAGUGGAGUGAGUGAACCAAGAUGGC
ensembl:lncRNA